rnacentral:rRNA from 1 species
CUACGGGUGGCACCAGUGGGGAAUAUUGCACAAUGGGCGAAAGCCUGAUGCAGCAACGCCGCGUGAGCGAUGAAGGCCUUCGGGUCGUAAAGCUCUGUCCUCAAGGAAGAAACAUGACGGUACUUGAGGAGGAAGCCCCGGCUAACUACGUGCCAGCAGCCGCGGUAAUACGUAGGGGGCAAGCGUUAUCCGGAAUCACUGGGCGUAAAGGGUGCGUAGGCGGUUUUACAAGUCAGGUGUGAAAGGCUAUGGCUCAACCAUAGUAAGCACUUGAAACUGUAUAACUUGAGUGCAGGAGAGGAAAGUGGAAUUCCUAGUGUAGCGGUGAAAUGCGUAGAUAUUAGGAGGAACACCAGUGGCGAAGGCGACUUUCUGGACUGUAACUGACGCUGAGGCACGAAAGCGUGGGGAGCGAACAGGAUUAGAUACCCCCGUAGUC